CUUAGUAGCUGCAAAAGACUUGUGUACAAGUUAACUCCUGGUACGAUAAAGGAUAGGAACGCUCUCUCAACUCCAGGCUUUGAAGAUGGAGGAGGGGCCACGGCCCAGCCAAGUGGGCAGCUGAAAGAGAGAAGGAGUUGGAGUUUGUCCUAGCGCCUCCAGAAGGAACUCUGCCUCCCGACGCCUUGACUUUAGCUUGCUUUUGGACUUCUGACCUCUGGUAGUAUAAGAUAAUAAAUUUAUAUUGUUUUAAGCCAC